UACAGAGGGGGCAAGCGUUAUUCGGAAUUAUUGGGCGUAAAGGGCGCGUAGGCGGCCUGGCAAGUGGAAGGUGAAAUCCCUCGGCUUAACCGAGGAACUGCCCUCCAAACUGCUUGGCUUGAGUCCGGGAGAGGUGAGUGGAAUUCCCAGUGUAGCGGUGAAAUGCGCAGAUAUCAGGAGGAACACCGGUGGCGAAGGCGGGUCUCUGGGCCGAUACUGACGCUGAGGAGCGAAAGCGUGGGGAGCGAACAGG
rnacentral:rRNA from 1 species